rnacentral:rRNA from 1 species
AGGACGAACGCUGGCGGCGUGCUUAACACAUGCAAGUCGAACGGAUUCGUGGCACUUGUGUUGCGGGUUAGUGGCGAACGGGUGAGUAACACGUGGGCAACCUGCCCUAGCACUGGGAUAACUCCGGGAAACCGGGGCUAAUACCGGAUACGACCUCUGAGGGCAUCCUCGGGAGGUGGAAAGCAUUGUGGCUAGGGAUGGGCCCGCGGCCUAUCAGCUUGUUGGUGAGGUAACGGCCCACCAAGGCGACGACGGGUA